UACGUAGGUGGCAAGCGUUGUUCGGAAUUACUGGGCGUAAAGGGCUUGUAGGCGGCCAACUAAGUCCGACGUGAAAUCCCCAGGCUUAACCUGGGAACUGCGUCGGAUACUGGAUGGCUUGAAUUCGGGAGAGGGAUGCAGAAUUCCAGGUGUAGCGGUGAAAUGCGUAGAUAUCUGGAGGAAUACCGGUGGCGAAGGCGGCAUCCUGGACCGACAUUGACGCUGAGGAGCGAAAGCUAGGGGAGCAAAGCGGG
rnacentral:rRNA from 1 species